CGUAGGUAACCUGCCUGGUAGCGGGGGGUAACUAUUGGAAACGAUAGCUAAUACCGCAUACCAUUGACUAUUGCAUGAUAGUCAAUUGAAAGGUGCAAAUGCACCACUACCAGAUGGACCUGCGUUGUAUUAGCUAGUUGGUGGGGUAACGGCUCACCAAGGCGACGAUACAUAGCCGACCUGAGAGGGUGAUCGGCCACACUGGGACUGAGACACGGCCCAG
rnacentral:rRNA from 1 species